CUUGGACUACCAUUUGGUUUUGAUUAAAACCAGACAGCUAACUCUGGAGAAUUUAGGGAAUAAGCUCAUGGAAACUGCAAAUGAGUAGCAUACAUGGAGGUAUGAGAAAUGUCAAGUCCGUUUGCGCUAACAUCCAGCCUCUUCUCUGAAACUAUAGGAAGAUAAUGAAGAUGAUAAUAAAGAUACUCAACUGCCCGAGAAGAAGAUAGAAACCAACAAAUGAG